rnacentral:lncRNA from 1 species
UCCACCGUAAAAUUUGGUUCAAGAUCACAAUCACCUAACUAAAUCCAAAUUAUUCCAAGAAUAAUUAAAGAUUUGUUUAUACACCAAUAUAAUAAUCGCCAUGCUCAACUAGACCUAAGUUCUCAUAAUCCACCGAACAUCUUUAACUAUCUCCGGAAUAUCAUUUCUACAUCACCAUCAGAUUAUCUCAUCUUCCAAUCAUAAAUACUCAAAACAACUUCCGUAUGGCACCAGCCAACUUGGUGCUUGUUGGGGCUUAAGGAUGUAACAUGAUUGACUCACAAUCACAAUCUAAAGUUGGCCUUUAUUCGACGCAAAAGUUAUUGGUUCUUAUGCGGUGCUCCCAUAAUUCCGUAAAUUAAGCACAUCAGUAUAAGUCCAUGUUAUCAUAACUUUAAUAGCUAGGCUCAGUUUCUUGGGCUUACGACUGGUUCAAAGAAAGAAAGGCUUAAGCUUGAGAGCACAGAAACUUGGAAUAAGUUGCACUUAGUACAGUUGAAGGCGUAGACUAGAGCACAACCAACUUCUAUCUCUCCAAACUCAUCCAAACAACACAAUAUUUGUGGCACCUCACUCCACAACAACCAUGUCAUGCUAUCCUGAGUAGUAGAUCCACGUGCAAAAAUUGGAUCUGCCCACAACUGAUCACCAUCGCGGCUGCCUUCCUCGCUUCCCAUGUCGUCAUUCUUCCUCGCUUCCCAUGUUGUCAUUCUUUUGACCCCUUUCACCACACCCCUCAUGCACUCUCCGCUCCAUUCCAGUCCGAUUGGACAUCCUUUGCCUGGCUACGGGUUGCUUUGUGUGCUGCCUCGAUCCCACAACCCGUGUUUCCUUGAUGGGCGCCGCCAUAGCCGAACGCCCAAGCACCACCUAUCGGCGAUGCAGGAGCAAAGGCAGUCGGCACCGCAAUGUCUAACGCACAAGAUGUGAGCAUGACGCUACGUGUCGCCCGGGCCAACGACCCCCAACAAGGGAACGUAGGAUCCUACGUCAAGCCCGUGACACAUAACCCGCAUACAAGGGAAGGACGCCAAGCCGGAUCAACAAGGAACAAAAAUUGCACAACUUCAACGCCCACUCAUUCUAGUUUCACCGUCUAGUACUUGUUUGUCAACCUCUUCAAAUGAGCCCCUAACCACACAGAAGAUUACGCGAGUUUAGUGUCUAAUGGCUGCUUCUUUUGGUUCUCCAUCGACGGGUUUUGCUACCGAUUCCUUUGGUAACAAGAGACCACUUUUUACACAACAAGGUAUCUCAUGAACAUUCAACCUAUCUCGCUCUGUAGGGUGACAUUCAUCUUGAGUGGUUCAAGAUCACAGCUACCCAAAUUAGUGCAAGAUCAAUUAAAGAAAUGUUUAUUCACCAAUCUAAUAAUCACCAUGCUCAUGUACUAGACAUAAAAAUCAACAUCCACUACUCGUAUUAACCAAUCUAAUAAUCACCAUGCUCAUGUACUAGACAUAAAAAUCAACAUCCACUACUCAUCUUUGACUAUCUCCUCAAGAGCCCAAUAACCAGACUAAAUCCACGUAAAAUAUCAUAAUCCACCGAGAAAUUUGAUUCAAAAUCAUAAUCACCAAACUAAAUCCAAAUUGUUCCACUUAAUUAAAGAUUUGUUUAUCCACCAAUGUAAUAAUCAUGAUGCUCACCUAUUAGACCUAAAAUCUUAUAAUCCACCGAACAUCAUUGACAAUCUUCUCAACAUCACAAUCACCUAGCUAAAUCCAUCUAAAAUCUCAUAAUCCACUAUGAAAUUUUGUUAAAAGAUCACAAUCACCUAGCUAAAUCCAAAUUGUUUAAAAUUGAUCGAAGAUUUGUUUAUCCACCAAUAUAAUAAUCACUAUGCUCACUAAUUAGACCAAAAAUCUCAUAAUCCACCGAACAUCUUCAAGUAUCUUUUCAAGAAGAUAAUCACCUAACUAGAUCCACCUAAAAUCACAUAAUCCAUCGUGAAAUUUGGUUCAAAAUCAUAUUCACAUAACUAACAAAUCAAUGUAAGAUUAAUUAAAUAUAUGUUUAUCCACCAAACUAAUAAUCACCACGGUCACCGACUAUACCUAAAAACUCAUAAUCACAAUCUAAAGUUCGUCUUUAUUCGACGCAAAAGUUAUUGGUUCUUAUGCGGUGCUCUCAUAAUUCUGUAAAUUAAGCACAUCAAUAUAAGUCCAUGUUAUGAGAAUUUGAAUAGCUAGGCUCAGUUUCUCGGGCUUACGACUGGUUCAAAGAAAGGCUUAAGCUUGAGAGCACAGAAACUCAGAAUAAGUUGCACUUGGUAAAGUUGAAGGCCUAGACUAGAGCACAACCAACUUCUAUCUCUCCAAACUGAUCCAAACAAAAGAAUAUUUGUGGCACGUCACUCCACAACAACCAUGUCAUGCCAUCCCGAGUAGUAGAUCAACAACAACAACAACAACCAAGCCUUUCAGUCCCAAACAAGUUGGGGUAGGCUAGAGUUGAAACCCAUAAGAUCUCGAAACCAAGUCAUGGCUCUGGAACGUGGAUAGCUAACUUCCACGCACCCCUGUCCAUGGCUAAGUCUUUGUCGAUAUUCCAAACCUUCAGGUCUCUCUUAACGGACUCCUCCCAUGUCAAGUUUGGUCUACCACGACCCCUCUUAACAUUCUCAGCACGCUUUAUCCGUCCGCUAUGCACCGGCGCUUCCGAUGGCCUCCGUUGAAUAUAUCCAAACCAUCUGAGACGAUGCUGGACCAACUUCUCUUCAAUCGGUGCUACCCCAAGUCUCUCUCGUAUAUCGUCAUUCCGUACCCGAUCCUUCCUUGUGUGGCCACAUAUCCAUCUCAACAUGCGCAUCUCUGCUACACCCAACUGUUGAAUAUGUCGUCUCUUGGUUGGCCAACACUCCGCGCCAUACAACAUCGCAGGUCGGAUAGCUGUCCUAUAAAACCUGCCUUUUAGCUUUUGUGGCACUCUCUUGUCACAGAGUACGCCAGACGCUUGGCGCCAUUUCAUCCACCCAGCCUUGAUUCGGUGGCCCACGUCUUCAUCGAUAUCGCCAUCCUUCUGCAACAUGGAUCCCAAAUAUCGAAACGUGUCUCUCUGGUACCACCUGCCCACCAAGGCUAACCUCUCCAUCCUCGUGCCUAGUAGCACUAAAACUGCACCUCAUGUAUUCAGUUUUAGUUCUACUAAGCCUAAAACCUUUCGAUUCUAGAGUCUGCCUCCAUAACUCUAACUUUCUAUUAACCCCCAUUCGGCUAUCAUCGACUAGCACCACAUCAUCCGCAAAGAGCAUACACCAUGGGAUAUCUCCUUGUAUAUCCCUUGUGACCUCAUCCAUCACCAAAUCAAAAAGAUAAGGGCUCAAUGCUGACCCUUGGUGUAGCCCUAUUCUAAUCGGAAAGUCAUCGGUGUCGCCAUCACUUGUUCGAACACUUGUCACAACAUUAUCAUACAUAUCCUUGAUGAGGGUAAUGUACUUUAUUGGGACUUUAUUGGGACUUUAUCCCGAGUAGUAGAUCCACGUGCAAAAAUUGGAUCUGCCCACAACUGAUCACCAUCGCGACUGACGCAAAGGCACAGGGUGGAUGAUGCCUUUUCUACUCCCAAUGCCAUCUUCCUGCCUUCCUCGCUUCCCCUGUCGUCAUACUUUUGACCCCUUUCACCACCGAAUGGACAUCCUUUGCCUGGCUACGGGUUGCUUUGUGUCAUGUCUCGAUCCCACAACCCGUGUUUCCUUGAUGGACGCCGCCAUAGCCGGCAGUCGGCACCGCAAUGUCUAACGCACAAGAUGUGAGCAUGACGCUCCCUGUCGCCCGGGCCAACGACCCCCAACAAGGGAACGUAGGAUGCUACGUCAAGCCCGUGACACAUAACCCGCAUACAGGGGAAGGACGCCAAGCCGGAUCAACAACGAACAAAAAUUGCACAACUUCAACGCCCACUCAUUCUAGUUUCACCGUCUAGUACUUCUUUGUCAACCUCUUCAAAUGAGCCCCUAACCACACAGAAGAUUAGCAAGCUUAGUGUUUAAUAGCUGCUUCUUUGGUUCUCCAUCGACGGGUUUCGCUACCGAUUCCUUUGGUAAAGAGAGACCACUUUUUACACAACCAGGUAUCUCAUGAACAUUCAACCUAUCUCGCUCUGUAGGGUGACAUUCAUCUUGAGUGGUUCAAGAUCACAGCUACCCAAAUUAGUGCAAGAUCAAUUAAAGAAAUGUUUAUUCACCAAUCUAAUAAUCACCAUGCUCACGUACUAGACAUAAAAAUCAACAUCCACCACGCAUCUUUGACUAUCUCCUCAAGAUCCCAAUAACCAGACUAAAUCCAGGAAAUAUAUCAUAUUCCACCAAGAAAUUUGAUUCAAAAUCAUAAUCACCAAACUAAAUCCAAAUGGUUCCACUUAAUUAAAGAUUUGUUUAUCCACCAAUAUAACAAUCACUAUGCUCACUAAUUAGACCUAAAAUCUCAUAAUCCACCGAACAUCUUCAAGUAUCUUUUCAAGAAGACAAUCACCUAACUAGAUCCACCUAAAAUCUCACAAUCCAUCGUGAAAUUUGGUUCAAAAUCAUAUUCACAUAACUAACAAAUCAAUGUAAGAUUAUUUAAAUACAUGUUUAUCCACCAAACUAAUAAUCACCACGGUCACCGACUAUACCUAGAAACUCAUAAUGCACCAAAAAAAUUGUUUGUCUCCUCAAGAUCACAAUCACCAAAGUAUAUUCAACCACAAUUGCCUAACUAAGAAAUUUUUGUAAGAUUAAUCAAAUAUAUGUUUAUCCACCAAUCUAAUAAUCACCACGGUCACCUACUAGACCUAAAAUCUCAUAUCCACCGAAAAAAUCUUUGACUAUCUCAAGAUCACAAUCAUCAAAGUAUAUUCAACCAAAAUCUCAAAAUUCACCAUGAAAUUCGAUUCAAGAUCACAAUCACCUAACUAAAUAGAAAUUGUUCCAAGAUUAAUUAAAAAUGUGUUUAUCCACCAACAUAAUAAUCACAUGCUCACUUACUAAACAUAAAAUCUCAUAACAUCCUUGACUAUCUCCUCAAUAUCACAAUCACCAAACUAAAACCACAUAAAAAUCUUUCUUAGGUGUUGCUAAUGAUUUUCCUCCGAGGGGGAAUAGACAAAGAGGUCAUCAAUGAUGACGAGAAACUUGUCGAAGAACUCACAAACAUGUUAUUCAUGAUGUUCAUCAAAUAGCUAGGCGGGCAAGGAUUAGGUCAACGGCCACAUCCUUCACAUACAACUCUGUCGUCGCGAUUCGACCAAGUCAUGGAUUGGUGAGACUUAAGGUGCAUA